GACAGCAGUAGCCACGGUAAUACAGAGGGUGCGAGCGUUAAUCGGAUUUACUGGGCGUAAAGCGUGCGUAGGCGGCUUCUUAAGUCGGAUGUGAAAUCCCUGAGCUUAACUUAGGAAUUGCAUUCGAUACUGGGAAGCUAGAGUAUGGGAGAGGAUGGUAGAAUUCCAGGUGUAGCGGUGAAAUGCGUAGAGAUCUGGAGGAAUACCGAUGGCGAAGGCAGCCAUCUGGCCUAAUACUGACGCUGAGGUACAAAAGCAUGGGGAGCAAACAGGAUUAGAUACCCCCGUAGUCCCUGUCUCUUAUCC
rnacentral:rRNA from 1 species